rnacentral:rRNA from 1 species
CCCUUAGAUGUUCUGGGCUGCACGCGCGCUACACUGACAUACUCAGCAAGUUUCCUUGCCUGAAAGGGUUGGGUAAUCUUGUUAGUGUAUGUCGUGAUGGGGAUAGAAUAUUGUAAUUAUUGCUCUUUAACGAGGAAUUCCUAGUAAGCGCAAGUCAUCAGCUUGCGUUGAUUACGUCCCUGCCCUUUGUACACACCGCCCGUCGCUCCUACCGAUUGGGUGAUCCGGUGAAUGAUUCGGACUCUGGCUAUGCUAGCUACUAGCUACGUCAGGGAAAGUUUUGUGAACCUUAUCAUUUAGAGGAAGGAGAAGUCGUAACA